rnacentral:lncRNA from 1 species
GUUGUAAGACAUGGAAGAAAAAUUAAUCCAUACCUCUCUUAGAAAAAAAAGAAGGAACCACUUUGCUGAAUGACCUUUGAGCUGAAUAGACCAUCGAGUUUUAAAAGUACCUGCCAGUUUCACAUCCCUUCUGAGACUUUAAAGAGCAACUGAAUGAUUUUGGACCUCUGCUGAAAUUCAAACCAAAUUAGAAGCCAGACGGUUGUUACCCAUAAUCCCCACAUGAGAUGAAUCCCAGGAAGCCCAUCUGCUUGAAUUCCCCAUUUCCACAUGGAAGUUAGGAUCUCCAGCUAUUCAUAAUCUGGUGAGUCAUUUCAUCUUUUUUCUUUUGUCAUGUGUGCCAAAGAAAAUUUCUGCUGAGGAAUAUAAGGAAUCUAAAUUCUGACUGGUGUCUAUGGAGCAUAUAGUAAAUGGUCCUUAUCAUGAAUAUCUGUAGAAAACUCAGAAGGGUAGAACAUAAUAUUGUGCAUGUUAUAAACUAAAUUCUAUUCUCAACUAUAGCUACUCAGGACUUCUAAUCUUGACUGUUAAAAUCAACUUCCCAUUUCUAGUCUCCUCCCCUGGCCCAUCCCAUCCAUGCACUACCAGAUUAAUCUUUCAAAGUAGCUCUGUCUAAUAGAAUG